GCCCUCAUAACUGCCUGGCCCCAGAGAACCCAUGGAGGACCACCAGGCUUACAGUCACCCAUCGUCGCUCUGGGAAACACCAGUGACUGUCUCUGCCUUACUAGCCUGUUAAUUUCCAGUUGGCCACUGUGUGUUCACUGAUGGCAUGAGGAAGGUCUAGCAUGCAGAGACGUAUUUCUACUCCCCGUGCGGACCCCCUUUUAAGAAGGCUUCAAAAGGGACAUGCAGAGGAUGCUUAAAACCCACCCUUAUCAUUCUUACCAUUCUGCAAAGCGCAUGCCCUGCGUCUGUGGCUUGGGCAUGCCUCCCCUCCCCUGGAUGAUGAAUUCACGAGGGACCUCAUGGGCUGCUGAGAACAAGCACGCUUUUGAAUGAACUCUUUUACGGGUAUCAGUCCAAAAGUCACCAUCAGCUGCAACUGAAAAG